AAUGCCACUCUUCGGAAACAAUAUCCGGCUCUAUACAAUAUUGUACGUCAUAAGGGUGAUACUAUCGCCACGGUAAUGGAAUUAUUUCCGCGAAAUGUGACAUUCAUAAGGGAUUUAUUUGGACCCAGACUAUAAUCGUGGAACAUCCUGCUCCAGCGGUUGUCCACAGUGUAAUUGUCACAUGGGUCCGAUGUAUUCCGAUGGAACCUACAUGGGAAUGGACAGUUCUCAGUGAAAUCUAUGUAUAAAGCGUUAAUCCAGUCUGAUGUGCCAGUUGAUAAUAACAAGAAAAUCUGGAAGAUGAAGAUGAAGAUGAAGAUACCGUUUAAGAAUAAAAUCUUCGCAUAA
rnacentral:rRNA from 1 species